rnacentral:snRNA from 1 species
ACCCUACUGAUGCCCGCGUCGCGAUAG